GACGAACGCUGGCGGCGUGCUUAACACAUGCAAGUCGAACGGAAAGGCCCUGCUUUUGUGGGGUGCUCGAGUGGCGCACGGGUGAGUAACACGUGAGUAUCCUGCCCUUUACUUUGGGAUAACUUCAGGAAACUGGGGCUAAUACCGGAUAUGAGCUCCUGCUGCAUGGUGGGGGUUGGAAAGUUUCGGCGGUUGGGGAUGGGCUCGCGGCUUAUCAGCUUGUUGGUGGGGUAGUGGCUUACCAAGGCUUUGACGGGUAGCCGGCCUGAGAGGGUGACCGGCCAAAGUGGGACUGAGAUACGGCCCAGACUCGUACGGGAGGCAGCAGUGGGGAAUAUUGCACAAUGGGCGGAAGCCUGAUGCAGCAACGCCGCGUGCGGGAUGACGGCCUUCGGGUUGUAAACCGAUUUCGCCUGUGACGAAGCGUGAGUGACGGUAAUGGGUAAAGAAGCACCGGCUAACUACGUG
rnacentral:rRNA from 1 species